GGGAGAGAAGGAUCAGAGGGAGACUGCAGCAGCACUGAGAGCAGAAUGGUGGUGGUGGUCUGGGUCUGUCUGUCUGCCUGCCAGCUUGGCCCCCACUAAGAACAGAAUACUCCUAAGAAAUGUUUCACAUUUCAUUAACACACCAUGUCUUUAGAUCCUCCUCAGAAAGAACCAAACAGACCCCACCAGGAAAGGCACCUCAAGGAUUACAGCAGCUGUUUGAAGAGUUUGAUUGUUUACCUGAACUGAGAUGUUUACAGCAAAGAAUAAACAAAGACAGUUCCUUCCUGAUAAGAUUUAUUGGGUGGUUUUCCCUUGAAAUGAAGAUGUGCUUUGUCAUGAGAACCUGGUGUUUGUAGCUUAGAUAUUAACACCUAUGGAGAUAAAUGGUGAAUGUUGCAUUGCACCCAAAUCUUUAUGUUCUAAUCAAACUAUCAGAUGAGUAUAAAGAAAAGAUAGCAGCAAGCAGGAUUUCAGCAAUCAUUUUGUGUCAAACCCGCUGACUCUUUGAGGCUAUCCAGCCAAACAGAAGUCCCACCAGACAUGGCUUGUUAGCAAUCCCCUCUGAGUAGCAGGGAAUUGGAACAGGUUGUGAUCUGCCAGCUCUGGAAGAAGAUCUCUGAAACCCACCAUCUGCCUGCCUAGCUGCUGCCUCACUGCUCACAAGCUACAUGCCCUAGCAACACUCAUGUGCAAUCAUACUCUAGAAUUGGUAAAGAUGAUCUCUGCAGUCUCUCCAAGCUCCUUGAUGUCCACCCAAAUGAGCUCUCCCUCUUCCUCUCUGACAGCCCAGCCUGUCUGAGCUGCCAUCCCCCACGAGUCCUCCUUCCUCCCUAAGCCUGCACCGUGUCUGUCUCUUCCCUUCCCCUCCUUAGAUUGUCUAGAAUGUUAUUGGUUGCUAGCUGUAAUAGUGAUUUUGCAUGCAUUCAAACACAUAAAAUAGCUAUCAUGCAUAUACUAGUAUGGUUUUAGAAUAUGAC